UCUUGUGUCCAAACCUCUUUGUCAAAACCUUAUCUUAUCAGAUCUCAGACGCUAAGCAGAGCUGGGUCUGGUUGGUACUUGGAUGGGAGAUUGCUGGGAAUAAGGAUGGGUCAAACA
rnacentral:rRNA from 1 species